AGGCUUGUUUCAGCAGCAUAUAUACGAAAAUUGGAAUGAUUAGCAUGACCCCGGCACAGGAUGACAGGCAAAUUCGUGAAACAUUCCAUAAAUAA
rnacentral:snRNA from 1 species